UUAAGAAAAAUUGAAUGGCAGUAAAAAUUUGUUUUUUAAUUUCAUUUUCUAGUGAGACCUUGUGUGAGAUCCAUAUAGUUGCCUGAUAUCAGGACAUAUUUAUGACAGUAAACCAGUGUAUCUCUGGUUCUGGAAGCAGCUGAGCUCUUUUCAGUGGUACCCAGUGCUGGACUUGUCAGCACAUCUAUACGUUGGCAACUUAUUAUUCCACGAGCAUCACUUCAUUUGGGCUGGCAAUAAGUCCUGUUCAGUCAUUGUGCUGCAGAGGAAUGUUUAAAGCUGCGAUGUGCAUUGGAGUCUGUUUGUUUGCAGCAGCUGAUUUGCCUAAGCUUUGAU